GAAAAGGGGAUUAGGUUUUAUCAACGUUGUGACUAUAUAUUUCCCUUACUCAAAGAGCUUUCUUCUUCCCCUCUCAUAAACUCAGCGGCGCCGAUGACCAUCUUCGAUCUCUUUCUCCGGCAAAACAAAACACGACGCCGCCAUGAACUGAACUAACAGCAUCUCUCCCCCUCGCCUCUCAUCUCAAACUCAAACCCUAAUUCGGAUCUCUCUCACUAACCCUAAAUCUAUGAAGCUCCAUUGAAUGCUCUAAGAAGCAUGAAUCAAGUGAAAUCUAUAGGGUUAUCAUUCAAUAGAUCUCGGGCAACGUCAUAGCAUCAAGAAAAGAAGAAAAAGAUAGCGAUUUCUCACACCACAUAGCGAUUUCCCUCUGAUUUCGUCAUGGAAUUAGGGAACAUCAGUUCCAAUAUGAGCUCUCGGUCGAGCAGGCAGACUGCUGUCAGAAGUUACCGGCGUAGACCUUAACCGAAUGCCGGCUGAUGAGAAUCGUGAGCAGGAAGGACCUUCAACUCAGUUGGAGCCUCAAUGAGUCGAAACUCAAGCCAACAACAACCAGCAACAACCCCCGUUGAUUGAUGUAGAGGCCAUUGAUGAUGAUGUUAUUGAAUCUUCCCCUAGGGCCUUUGCUGAGGGUUUAAAGAAAUCGAAGGUAUACUUUCAAGGGAUUCAAUAGACGACAAUAUAUUUCAAGUUGUUGCAACCCGUUUUUAUGGUAAACCUAUUAGUGCUUAACAGGGGAAGAGUAUUUUGCUUGGUAGGAGAAUUCAUGAUGUGAUUGGUGUUAGGGAGAAGAUGGAGGAUAAAGAAUAGUGGAGGAUUUUGAUAGAAAGUUGUGGUUUUGAAACUGUGAGUUUCUGAAAUAUGAAUUUCCAUUUUUUAGUGAAUUCAAGGGGUACAGCCUCCCCGGCACGCUUCCGCCUCAAUUGGUUAAGCUUCCAUACCUCAAAGUAGUUGAUUUUGCUUAUAACUACCUAAAUGGUACGAUUCUGAAGGAAUGGGGUUCGAUUGAACUAACUUCAAUCUCGCUACUUGUUAAUCGUUUGUCGGGGGAGAUUCCUAAGGAGUUGGGAAAUAUUACCACUCUAACAUACUUUAGGAUAAACGAUAAUAGUUUCAACGGAAAAAUACCGAGCUUCAUACAGAAUUGGAAACAGCUUCAGAGACUAGAAAUGCAUGCAAGUGGACUGGAGGGACCUAUCCCGUCAAAUAUAUCGCUUUUGACUAAUUUAUCUCGACUGUGGAUUACUGACAUCAAUGGUCCAAGUCAGGAUAUUCCUAUUUUAAGAAACAUGACAGGAAUGAUA